ACUGAAUUCUCUUCGGAGAUAGUAAGGUGGCGGACGGGUGAGUAACACGUAAAGACUUGCCCUGCAGUCUGGGACAACUAUUGGAAACGAUAGCUAAUACCGGAUAUUGCUGCAUGGCGAAAGCUGUAUGCGCUGCAGGAGAGCUUUGCGUCCCAUUAGUUAGUUGGUGAGGUAACGGCUCACCAAGACCGCGAUGGGUAGCCGGCCUGAGAGGGUGAACGGCCACAAGGGGACUGAGACACGGCCCUUACUCCUACGGGAGGCAGCAGUGGGGAAUAUUGGACAAUGGACCAAAGUCUGAUCCAGCAAUUCUGUGUGCACGAUGACGGUCUUAGGAUUGUAAAGUGCUUUCAAUCGGGAAAAAGAAAGUGAUGGUACCGAUAGAAGAAGCGACGGCUAAAUACGUGCCAGCAGCCGCGGUAAUACGUAUGUCGCAAGCGUUAUCCGGAUUUAUUGGGCGUAAAGCGCGUCUAGGCGGUCUGGUAAGUCUGAUGUGGAAAUGCGGGGCUCAACUCCGUAUUGCGUUGGAAACUGCCAGACUAGAGUACUGGAGAGGUGGGCGGAACUACAAGUGUAGAGGUGAAAUUCGUAGAUAUUUGUAGGAAUGCCGAUAGAGAAGUCAGCUCACUGGACAGAUACUGACGCUGAAGCGCGAAAGCAUGGGGAG
rnacentral:rRNA from 1 species